rnacentral:snRNA from 1 species
GGAUGUGAGGGCGAUCUGGCCACACAUCUGUCACCCCAUUGGUCGCCAAGGUUGAUUCAGCUGAUCUGGGUGGCUAGGCGGGUGUCCCCUUCAUUCCUUGCCGCUCUAUGUCCAUCCCUCCUGAAGCUGCACACUCGGUAGAAGAGGACGACCUUCCCCGCUACAGGAGGACCAGUCUUCGGUCAAGGGUAUACAAGUAGCUGCACUCCCCUGCUACAACUUCCAAACAAGCUCUCAAGAAUCUAGCAUCUGAACAUAGGCUGCUUGAGUUCAAAUCCUAACUCCUGAAAUAAGUCAGUCCCAAAUAUCA